AGAUUGAACGCUGGCGGCAGGCCUAACACAUGCAAGUCGAGCGGUAGAGAGGUGCUUGCAUCUCUUGAGAGCGGCGGACGGGUGAGUAAUGCCUAGGAAUCUGCCUAGUGGUGGGGGAUAACGUUCGGAAACGGACGCUAAUACCGCAUACGUCCUACGGGAGAAAGCGGGGGACCUUCGGGCCUCGCGCCAUUAGAUGAGCCUAGGUCGGAUUAGCUAGUUGGUGAGGUAAUGGCUCACCAAGGCGACGAUCCGUAACUGGUCUGGAGAGGAUGAUCAGUCACACUGGAACUGAGACACGGU
rnacentral:rRNA from 1 species